AAAUUCCAACACAAAGAAAGCCCUAGGUAAUGGACAUCCGGCCUAAAUGAGGUACAUCCGGCGGAAUUUCCGUUGUCACCGGAGCAAUUGAGGAAGUGGAACUAGUUUGUGAGUGUCGUUGGUUGAUUUAGUGGUUCGUCGGCGUACCAUCACAGUUACCCAGCUGUGGUUUGGCCCCAGAAUAUCAACAGAGGCUGAUGGUCUUGGCUGUCCCUUGACCUCUGUUUUCUACAGAGAACCAUAUCCGAAACUUGGCAUCUACAAGCUUCUACAAAAAUGGCAAAAUCCAGAUUUUUCUUUUGUUGCACUGUGGAAACUGAUCUGCCCUGUGAAUUCCUUAAUCAUUGCCUGUAUUAAAUUAUGUCAGUCAAUGAGAAGAAGAUUCAGUAGCUUCCUGGCCGUCAAUCCCAUCAUCAUAAAUGUGUUUAUCUGCUGACACAUCAUUUUUAGAUUAGACAAAUGAGUGUAUGCACGGUUUUAGCCCUUUUACUGCAAAUUACACACAAUUUACAUUAUAAGUAACAUUCAACAAAGCAUCAUAUUUUAACCACACUGCUCGGUCCCGACAUAAGAUUGUAUUUCUUUUAUAUAAACCCAACAGAUGACAGUAAAGAGAAGAAGGGGAACGACAUGCAACAAAAGUUCCUGGCAGGUUGCCAACGGGCACAUUGCAGUUCAUAGUCGGCACCUUUUUAUUUAUUUAUUUAUUUAUUUAUUUUACCUUUAUUUAUUCAGGGAAAGUUCACUGAGAGGAAGCCUCUCUUUUGCAGGAACACCUUG